AAUCACCGUUUCAAUCUUCAUUCUAAUCGUCAUCCACAAAACACGCCCCUUAUGCCAUUGUGCUAACAGCAAAGCGCUCUCUUUCUUGGCAGUGAAGAGGCGACACUCCUCUAUAUCUCAGUUCAUUUCUCCUCUAACAAAAAUUUCCCCAUUUUUUCCUUGCCAGACAGAAAACCUCAUAUCUUCGUCACUGUUGGUUGUCUUUGUGGCUUCAAUCACCGUCUCAAUCUUCAUUCUAACGUCAUUCAACUGUUUCGUAGUAGUAAUGUCGUCUUAAUGGUCAUUUAACUCGCCGGUCUAGCUAGUGCAUUGAUAAAGCUGUGGAACCUCUCGGAGACACCUGUCAUUGGGCAAAGAAAAUUUGACCAUGUUACUAGUUUGGCUUCUUCCUCGAUUGACGAAGUUGUAAGACAAGGAUGCCUUGCUCCAGAUGUUGUUGAGCAAAUAAUCUGAAAGCCAGGAAGAUGAAAGAGUUGGCAUUCAAGAGGCAAAAUGAGCUUGAAGAAAUCUACAGAGGGGUUCAUACGGAUGUAGAAAGUGAUGCAGCAUGACAGAUUAUUCUCAUCAACUUGAUAGGUUCAGGUCUUAAUCCUAUUUUGGAGUUGAUUAAAUCUAACCUGAAUUAAUUGAAGUAUCUAGUUUUUUGUUAUGCACUUAUUAUAGAGCUUUCACUCUUUUCUGUUUUGGAUGAAAUUAAAUCGCAUUUGACUGCUAUUUAGGCUGUCUAUGGUAGAUAGGGAUAUAUUUUACUAAAAAGGUUGUUUGGUUGUAGUGUUUUAAAGAUUACCUUGGUAAUUUAUCUUUUAUUACUUACAUUACUUU